GACGUAGGGGAUAAGCGUUGUUCGGAAUUAUUGGGCGUAAAGGGCAUGUAGGCGGUUUUGUAAGUCUGGUGUGAAAUGGUUGGGCUUAACCCAAUCCUGCAUUGGAAACUGCGAAACUAGAAUCACUGAGGGGGAAUCAGAAUUCCAGGUGUAGGGGUGAAAUCUGUAGAUAUCUGGAAGAAUACCAGUGGCGAAGGCGGAUUCCUGGCAGAUGAUUGACGCUGAGGUGCGAAGGUAUGGGGAGCAAACAGG
rnacentral:rRNA from 1 species